GAUCAUGGCUCAGGAUGAACGCUAGCUACAGGCUUAACACAUGCAAGUCGAGGGGAAACGACAUCGAAAGCUUGCUUUGGUGGGCGUCGACCGGCGCACGGGUGAGUAACGCGUAUCCAACCUGCCCACCACUUGGGGAUAACCUUGCGAAAGUAAGACUAAUACCCAAUGAUAUCCCACGAAGGCAUCGGAAUGGGAUUAAAGAUUUAUCGGUGAUGGAUGGGGAUGCGUCUGAUUAGGUUGUUGGCGGGGCAACGGCCCACCAAGCCCACGAUCAGUAGGGGUUCUGAGAGGAAGGUCCCCCACAUUGGAACUGAGACACGGUCCAAACUCCUACGGGAGGCAGCAGUGAGGAAUAUUGGUCAAUGGACGAGAGUCUGAACCAGCCAAGUAGCGUGCAGGAUGACGGCCCUAUGGGUUGUAAACUGCUUUUAUAAGGGAAUAAAGUGAGUCUCGUGAGACUUUUUGCAUGUACCUUAUGAAUAAGGACCGGCUAAUUCCGUG
rnacentral:rRNA from 1 species